rnacentral:rRNA from 1 species
GAGUGGCGGACGGGUGAGUAAUGCUUGGGAACUUGCCUUUGCGAGGGGGAUAACAGUUGGAAACGACUGCUAAUACCGCAUAAUGUCUUCGGACCAAACGGGGCUUCUGCUCCGGCGCAAAGAGAGGCCCAAGUGAAUUACCUACUUGGUAACGUAACGGCUUACCAAGGCGACGAUCUCUAGCUGGUCUGAAAGGAUGAUCAGCCACACUGGGACUGAGACACGGCCCAACUCCUACGGGAGGCAGCAUGGGGAAUAUUGGACAAUGGGCGAAAGCCUGAUCCACCAAUGCCGCGUGAGUGAUGAAGGCCUUAGGGUUGUAAAGCUCUUUUACCAGGGAUGAUAAUGACAGUACCUGGAGAAUAAGCUCCGGCUAACUCCGUGCCACAGCCCGGUAAUACGGAGGGAGCUAGCGUUGUUCGGAAUUACUGGGCGUAAAGCGCGCGUAAGCGGCUUUUCAAGUCGGGUGAAAUCCCGGACUCAACUCCGGAACUGCCCUUGAAACUAAUGGCU